AGUGAACGCUGGCGGUAUGCUUUACACAUGCAAGUCGAACGGCAGCGCGGUCUUCGGUCUGUCUUCGAGUGGCGGACGGGCGAGUAAUGCAGCAGAACGUGGCCAUUUACUUGUGAUAGGCCGGCGAAAGCCGGAAUAUUACCCUAAUACAGCUGACGGUGAAAGCGGGGGACCGAAAGGCCUUCCGAUAUUGGACCAGCCGAUGUCGGAUUAGCUAGUUGGCGGGGUAAAGGCUUACCAAGGCGACGAUCCGUAGCUGGUCUGAGAGGACGAACAGCCACACUGGGACUGAGACACGGCCCAGACUCCUACGGGAGGCAGCAGUGGGGAAUUUUGGACAAUGGGGGCAACCCUGAUCCAGCCAUGCCGCGUGCGGGAAGAAGGCCUUCGGGUUGUAAACCGCUUUUGUUGGGGAAGAAAUCCUGUGGGCUAAUACCCCGGGGGGCUGACGGUACCGGAAGAAUAAGCACCGGCUAACUUCGUG
rnacentral:rRNA from 1 species